rnacentral:rRNA from 1 species
AUUGAACGCUGGCGGCAGGCCUAACACAUGCAAGUCGAACGAGUGGCGGACGUGUGAGUAAUGUCUGGGAAACUGCCUGAUGGAGGGGGAUAACUACUGGAAACGGUAGCUAAUACCGCAUACCAUCAGAUGUGCCCAGAUGGGAUUAGCUAGUUGGUGGGGUAACGGCUCACCAAGGCGACGAUCCCUAGCUGGUCUGAGAGGAUGACCAGCCACACUGGAACUGAGAGACGUGCCGGACGCCUGCGGGAGGCAGCAGUGGGGAAUAUUGCACAAGGGGCGCAAGCUUGAUGCAGCCAUGCCGCGUGUAUGAAGAAGGCCUUCGGGUUGUAAAGUACUUUCAGCGGGGAGGCGUUACCCGCAGAAGAAGCACCGGCUAACUCCGUGCCAGCAGCCGCGGUAAUUC